UUAAACAUUUUUAAAGCUAAUGUUGUAAUGUGUAGUUUAAAAGAAAUAAUUUGCAGUUCUUUAUAUAGUUAAUCAAUUCUUGGCCACAAGUGUUCUGGCCACGAGAGCCACAGAUCAUUUUGUAUGAUCGUCACUUUCUAUACAUAAGCUGCUUUUUAUACCACUUCCUGUGCAGGCAGUUUUUAUUCUGAUUUGAAGUACACAGUGGAAAGACAUUCAUCUCCAUCUGCUCUUUGUUUGCCACUGAAACAGCAAUAUCUGCUUUCUUAUUUUUACGAGGCUGAGUUGCUAGCUCGACAGUCAACGCAGCACGGAUGGAAAGCGUGCAAGGGAGCCGGCUGGAUUCGAAUUUGGGAGCCUUCGCUCUGAAGUCCGGCGCUGAUGCCACUUACACCACCAGCCGGCAAUUACAGGAUGUCUGCGAAGAAUAAGAAUUUCAGGUUGUAUACUUUAUGCAAUCUCUAUUAUUAAAAUGAACCAUUUGAAC